rnacentral:rRNA from 1 species
GACGAACGCUGGCGGCGUGCUUAACACAUGCAAGUCGAACGGAAAGGCCCUGCUUUUGUGGGGUGCUCGAGUGGCGAACGGGUGAGUAACACGUGAGUAACCUGCCCUUGACUUUGGGAUAACUUCAGGAAACUGGGGCUAAUACCGGAUAGGAGCUCCUGCUGCAUGGUGGGGGUUGGAAAGUUUCGGCGGUUGGGGAUGGACUCGCGGCUUAUCAGCUUGUUGGUGGGGUAGUGGCUUACCAAGGCUUUAACGGGUAGCCGGCCUGAGAGGGUGACCGGCCACAUUGGGACUGAGAUACGGCCCAGACUCCUACGGGAGGCAGCAGUGGGGAAUAUUGCACAAUGGGCGGAAGCCUGAUGCAGCAACGCCGCGUGCGGGAUGACGGCCUUCGGGUUGUAAACCGCUUUCGCCUGUGACGAAGCGUGAGUGACGGUAAUGGGUGAAGAAGCACCGGCUAACUACGUG